GCUUANACGUGCAGUCGAGCGGAAACGAUGCNNGCUUGCUGGNAGGCGUCGAGCGGCGGACGGGUGAGUAACACUUAGGAAUCUACCUAGUAGUGGGGGAUAGCUCGGGGAAACUCGAAUUAAUACCGCAUACGUCCUACGGGAGAAAGGGGGCAACUUGUUGCUCUCGCUAUUAGAUGAGCCUAAGUCGGAUUAGCUAGUUGGUGGGGUAAAGGCCUACCAAGGCGACGAUCUGUAGCUGGUCUGAGAGGAUGAUCAGCCACGCCGGGACUGAGACACGGCCCGGACUCCUACGGGAGGCAGCAGUGGGGAAUAUUGGACAAUGGGGGCAACCCUGAUCCAGCCAUGCCGCGUGUGUGAAGAAGGCCUUUUGGUUGUAAAGCACUUUAAGCAGUGAAGAAGACCUNANGGUUAAUACCCGUUAGCGAUGACAUUAGCUGCAGAAUAAGCACCGGCUAACUCUGUGCCAGCAGCCGCGGUAAUACAGAGGGUGCAAGCGUUAAUCGGAAUUACUGGGCGUAAAGCGAGCGUAGGUGGNUUGAUAAGUCAGAUGUGAAAUCCCCGGGCUUAACCUGGGAACUGCAUCUGAUACUGUUAGGCUAGAAUAGGUGAGAGGAAGGUAGAAUUCCAGGUGUAGCGGUGAAAUGCGUAGAGAUCUGGAGGAAUACCGAUGGCGAAGGCNGCCUUCUGGCAUCAUAUUGACACUGAGGUUCGAAAGCGUGGGUAGCAAACAGGAUUANAUACCCUGGUAGUCCACGCCGUNNANCGAUGUCUACUAGUCGUUGGGUCCCUUGAGGACUUAGUGACGCAGCUAACGCNAUAAGUAGACCGCCUGGGGAGUACGGCCNCANGNNUNAAACUCANNNAAUNNANUGNCGGNGNCCCNGACACNNGCGGUGGAGCAUGUGGUNUAAUUCNAUGCAACNCNAAGAACCUUNCCUGGUCNUGACAUAUCUAGAANCCUGCA
rnacentral:rRNA from 1 species